AUUGAACGCUGGCGGCAGGCCUAACACAUGCAAGUCGAACGGUAACAGGAAACAGCUUGCUGUUUCGCUGACGAGUGGCGGCCGGGUGAGUAAUUUCUGGGAAACUUCCUGAUGGGGGGGGAUAACUACUGGAAACGGUAGCUAAUACCGCAUAACGUCGCAAGACCAAAGAGGGGGACCCUCGGGCCUCUUGCCAUCGGAUGUGCCCAGAUGGGAUUAGCUUGUUGGUGGGGUAACGGCUCACCAAGGCGACGCUCCCUAGCUGGUCUGAGAGGAUGACCAGCCACACUGGAACUGAGACACGGUCCAGACUCCUACGGGAGGCAGCAGUGGGGAAUAUUGCACAAUGGGCGCAAGCCUGAUGCAGCCAUGCCGCGUGUAUGAAGAAGGCCUUCGGGUUGUAAAGUACUUUCAGCGGGGAGGAAGGGAGUAAAGUUAAUACCUUUGCUCAUUGACGUUACCCGCAGAAGAAGCACCGGCUAACUCCGUG
rnacentral:rRNA from 1 species